rnacentral:rRNA from 1 species
GACGAACGCUGGCGGCGUGCUUAACACAUGCAAGUCGAACGGUAAGGCCCUUCGGGUACGACGAGUGGCGAACGGGUGAGUAACACGUGGGUGAUCUGCCCUGCACUUCGGGAUAAGCCUGGGAAACUGGGUCUAAUACCGGAUAGGACCAUGGACUUCACGGUUUGUGGUGGAAAGCUUUUGCGGUGUGGGAUGGGCCCGCGGCCUAUCAGCUUGUUGGUGGGGUAAUGGCCUACCAAGGCGACGACGGGUAGCCGGCCUGAGAGGGUGUCCGGCCACACUGGGACUGAGAUACGGCCCAGACUCCUACGGGAGGCAGCAGUGGGAAUAUUGCACAAUGGGCGCAAGCCUGAUGCAGCGACGCCGCGUGAGGGAUGACGGCCUCGGUU